rnacentral:lncRNA from 1 species
CUUGGUUCUUCCUCAGGGUGAUGGAAUGCUCCUAUAGUGUGGACCACAGGGUCAUCACUGUGAGAUUUGGAAGGUGAGGCUUCUGCCUGCCCCACUCCCAGCUUCUGGAUGGUUUCUGGACAGUAAGCUGAAUCAGGUAAAAAUGAAGAAAACUGGGAUGAGGUGGAUAUGUAAUGCAAUGGACAUGGAACUGUGAGACCUUAGAAGCCAAGUUAUCUGAGGCAAGGUACCCUGAAAGCCACAUUCUUUCCUUUAAUGGGACUGAAACAAAGACUUGAGGAAGCUGUAGGCCACAGUAACCAAAAGGAAAAUUAGGAUGGCAGAGCAAAGUUUCUGCUUCCUCAAAUCAAGUAAGGCUGGAACUGGUGGGCAGGAGAAGAGAAGGCACACAGGAGGAAGAUGCAGAAGGACAGUGAAUCCUCAGGACAAGAGGCAGCAUGGGGUGGUGGAUAAAUCGUGGACCAGGAGCGAAGCAAAGAUCUGCUCACCUGGGACACUCAUCAGGGUCCUAGGUGUGUAGCUGCAGACCAGGCAUCCAAGCUGCCUCUCAUCCAGCAUGUUUCUUCCCAUCACUUGGAAUUUCCAUUACAAAGUGGGUUCAUGGCAACUGUUCCUAAUCAAGGAGCGUCACUAUUCUCAUCUUUGACUCUCCAGCUCUGUUAUCCAAACAUACAGGACUCACCUUCCCACAAGCACAGGCAACUCUCCUAAGAGGCAGACUCAC